UACGUAGGGGUCGAGCGUUGUCCGGAGUUACUGGGCGUAAAGCGUGCGCAGGCGGUUCGUUGUGUCUGAUGUGAAAGCCCCGGGCUCAACCUGGGAAUGGCAUUGGAAACUGGCGAGCUAGAGUGUGGCAGAGGGGGGUGGAAUUCCGCGUGUAGCAGUGAAAUGCGUAGAGAUGCGGAGGAACACCGAUGGCGAAGGCAGCCCCCUGGGCUGACACUGACGCUCAGGCACGAAAGCGUGGGGAGCAAACAGG
rnacentral:rRNA from 1 species